ACCUUCCUUUGGGCACAAAUGAAGACCCCUGGGAAGCUUUCCAUUAGUGUUUCGGCGAGCGGUAAACCUCAGAAAAAUGAGUUUGGUAGCUUCUUCUGCCAUGCUCUUUUCCAUGCUAGGGAGACUUUCGACCAAAGUUUCUCUCAGCAUCUCCCUCAAUCCUUCAUUCAUAAUGCAUUUCGAUUGGUAUAGCAUUAUACUUUCUAGGGUCUUUAUGGCCUCAUUGUUCCUCCCGUUUGUUACAAUCUUAAACACAUCAUCAAAGAAGUCACUUAGAAGAUCUUUCAGAUUGAAGCUUCCUUCAACCAAGCACUUAUGAACUUCUCAAUUGUUUUCAUGAUCCCACACAACAAUACCACGUUACCCUUCUGCAAGUUAUUUUGCAAUUGAGUCUCUAAUUCUAUAUCGCAACAAGACCCAAAGUAUACAAAGUAUAAUAGAUCUAUGGAGUAGUAGUGGGAACAACCCCUUACGAUUGAAACUCAAAGUUGUCGUAUUGAGAGUUAAUGAUUUCAUAUGUAAGGAGUCUAACCAAAUUUUGUAUCUUUCGUAUGUAUAUGCAGCAGCCGACAACUGUCAAACCGGCUUCCAACUUCCAAGCCUUUAUUCCUAGAUUACCAGAUUAGAUUGUUACUCCUACAACCAUGAUAAAACCAUUCUCCAAAACAAAACAAAAAAGAAGAUAAAACCAAUAUAAAGUAGCAUGAUAAAAAACUACCGAGCAUACAGAGGUGUUGGAAAAUAUUUCAAUGAAUAAUAUUUUAUUCUAAAAAACAUAUUCCAGUUUGUUUUGCUUUCCCUUCCAAAGGUUCUAUUUUGACCCAAAAAAUACAAAAACAAACGCAUUCUCGCAUUUAGGCACAUUUCUAAAAUAUCUACUUUGAUCCAUGACAUAAACACACUACCGUAUGCAUUUCACUACUCAUAGAGUCAUAGCAGAAAGAUCUUUUACUGACAGGGCAACAAAUUGAUCAAAUUUACUAAGAUUUGACUUUAAGUUACCAAGGAAAACAAAGCUACAUGACAAAACUAACUUCAGCCUGGACAAAAGAUCUAUAGAAAUACUGACUUUGUGAGGUCACAUAUAGCAAUAGAGUUUAAGAACAAAUGAAAGUCUUCAAACAGUUCCAUUGAAUCUGAAAAAUCUUCACAGCUUCACCCAGUCUUGCAAACUCAAGGUUAAAAGUAAUAUUGCAUUGCCUAUUUAUCACAAUCCUCACCGGAAUUUGUCAAAUCAUCCACCACGACCUCACUGGGAGCGUUUGUGGGUUUCUGGUAGGAAAGAAGUGCCAUGACCUUACGACAAGGAGAAUCUGCGGUGGGCACCAAUCGAGCGGCUUCCAACGUUUGUUCCGAAUAGUCGGCGAGUUUUUUGCAUCUGCCUUUGCUAAUCAUAGAGGCCGAGAGGGUGGAAGUGGAAGCUCAAGCUCAAGCUGCUGCGAACAAUUGGCUGAAAAUCUCACCUGGCCAUUUCUGUAAGUAAGCAAAGCACUGGCGGGUGCGCUUAUGUUAAUUCGAUUAAUUAUUGAUUAAGCAGAGCACUGGCUGGUUGUUUGUUUUCUUUUUACUGAAAAAGUUCAAACUUUUUGUUCAUCCCCUCCAUCUCUAUCUCAACUGUUGUGUUAUUUGCCUCUCUACUGAAAAAGGUCAAAUUUUUGUUCAUCACCUUAUCUCUCUCUCUCUCUCUCAACUGUGGUGUUUUAACUGUUAUUUGCUUUUGUUCACUGAAAAAUGAUACUUUUUGUUCACCACCUUCAUCUCUCUCUCCCUCUCUUUUUCCUCAAACAACCUACGUAUCUGAAGUCCCUAACCUAAUUUCUCUCAAUACAUUUAAUUAGAAACCGUUGGAUAUUGUCCCACAUCGGUUAAUUAUCUCCUCCAAAACUAGUAUAUGAGUCUGAACGGCAUCUUCACUCCUUGCCAAUUGGUUUUGAGGUGGAUGCUUUAAUAUGGUAUUAGAGCUAGGUUUCCAGAGGCUUUUUCCUUUUAUUUGUGCCAUAGUUGCACUUUGUUUUGUUGUGAUCUGCGUGUUCCGGAUCUUUUGUUGACCUCUCCAUGUGCGAGUCGGGGGUCACACAUAAAGGGGGAGUGAUGGAUAUUGUCCCACAUUGGUUAAUUAUCUCCUCCAAAACUAGUAUAUGAGCCUGGGUGGCAUCUCCACUCAUUGCCAAUUGCUCGUGCACUAUUACUAAAUCGUCUUUGAAAACCCAUCGUUUCAUCUCUGUUUUACUCUUCCCCCAACUGUUUGGGUGAUGAAAAAAGUGUAGGAAAGAAUGAGAGAACUCUUACCUGGCCUUUUAGCUUCUGGUGUUUAAUUUCGUCAAAACCUCAACCGUAGUCUGCAGAGUUCUGGGAUUGUACCGCUAAGAUUCUGAGAAGUAAUUUUCUUGUUUUAAACUCAAGUUUACUGCUUUCUGCUAUAUGCUAACUGGUUGCUUUUCUGGAGACCAAAUUUGCUAAUUUUGUGAAGGACUAAAUUGUGUGGAUGUGGAUUUAACGUAUUGCUUACUUCUUUGAAUCAUAUGAGUGCUUGUUUCGGCUAUGCAUAUCCUUAUUUUGUGUGGGGAUUUAUAAGGUUUUGAUCUAUAUUGAAUUACUUUUUGUGAAGCUUAUUGUUUAAUGUUAGUGAUGAUGCUGGUAGCUUUUUGUCUCCUGUUAUUUAUGUAUACGGAAUUACUUCGUGAAAAUGUGUUUGUCUGUUUCGGUUGUUCGAACUUUUAGAGAGACAUGAAACUUAUGCACUAAAAUUCAAAACCAAGCAUUGAUUUUGGACAUUACCUUUUUUACUUUCAAUGUUUAUAUACGUAGUGUCAAUAUAUAUGUCACAGUUUAUAAGCGAUACUGUUUGAAGCUGAAUAGUCUAUGUUUUGAAGUUUUAAGAAUGCUUAUAUUUUGGACAGGUGGACUAUUUGUUUGUUGCUCCUUGUGUUCCCUUUUGUCAAUCUCACCCAGCCUCUAUCUCAGUUGAAUAGGUCAAAGAUUGAAAAAGGUGAGUUUUUAUUUGGGAAUUCAUAUUCUGUAAACUUGUAGUUGCAGAAAGCACGUGCUCCUGUUUAGGUCUGCAAACGAGCCAAUCAAGCUGAGCUUUUCAAUGUUCGAGCUUUGUUCAGACAACUUUGCAAUUUGCGUUAGCUUGAGCUCGGCUCGAGCCAAAGGUAUCGGGCUCGAACUCAACUCGGGAAAUGUUUUUCAACCUCAGGAUGGGCUCGAGCAAGCUCUUUAAAAGACUUUUAUUGGCAUGGAAAUAGCAUAGUGAACCAGACAACUAAUGCCUUCCUGGCUAUACAAGAGCUAGUCUAGCCGCUAAACCCAUGCAGGAGCAAUGUUGUACAGUUAAACUGGAAAAACAGUACCUUUGUUAACCUUUGUCUCUGGCCUCUCUUCACCAUUUUAGAAUUUUUGGCUGCACAGUGAGAACAUAAAUUGCUUUGAUGAUUGGUACUACACACUUAUUUCCCUAGUAUUGCCAUGAAAUCUGUACCAAAUGCAUUUAGAUGGACUCAUGAUAUUAUCCACCCAGUCAUGUAUCUCUAGUGUAUUUAUUAUCAAUGUGGACUGAAACGUUUAUCUACCAUUUUCUCUCUUUUGGCAUAUCACGUCCACUCUCAAAGUCCUCAUAUUCUACACCAAUAUUGCAGGUUAGCAUUCUCAAAUAAACAAUUUACCCUACGCUGAUGUGUUGUGCAUCAAACAUAUCUCUGUGAUUGAAUGUAGAUUUUUAAUAAACAGUUCAAUAUUAGGCAACCAUUUAAAAUAUUCUUAACUUCCUAAGAGAUUAAUCUGCAUACGUCGUAAAAAAGAAAAAGGAGAUUCAUUUACAAUUAGAGAUUAGGAAAUGGAUUUAAUAAGGUGAUUGGUUGAUAGAAAAAAUUUAGUGUUCCCGAGGUAUUGUUUAAUCAGGUAGCCUUAUAGGUUUAUAGCCAUCAUUCUAGCCUUCUUGAUUUUCUUAAUUCAAAUUCUAUUGAAAAUUCUAUUUGUAGAAUAACUGUUCACAUACCUUUGCGUUUCUAUUUAGCUGAAGUAAUCUGCAUGUAGUACUCUUAUUGUAGUCCCACUUUGUUAACUAACACUCAAAUUGUCAAUCUAAGCUUGAUAUUAUACUGUGUUAGAUUGAGAACUUGGGAGUGAGAACGGUAGACUCUUUUCCCUUACUAAGUAACAGAUUCGUGGACUGAGGAUUGAGAGCAUGAAAAUGGGGCGGAGGGUUUAUCGAAGGAUUUUGUUACUGAGGUCCCACAUCUGUAGAGUAGAGUAGAGAAGCUUGAGGCAUCUCAGCCUCUAUAAAAGAGUGUGCUCUAGAGUCCUCACACAAUUUGAAGAGAGAGAUGCAAGUCUCAUAAAGUGAUGUGCAUAAUUAUAUACUUGAUACUGUGUUGUUAAUCUGUAACAUAGACAUAAAGUUAAGUUAUUAACUGAGCCAAGCCUGCUUCUACGACUCGGCUUGUUUAGUAAUCGAGUUCCAAUCCUAGGCUCGAGCUCGUUCCUUGUGUAAUUAAACGAGAGCUCUGAGUCGUCUGUGAACGGCUUGGUUGGCUUGCAGACCUACUCCUGUUUUAAGCAUUUUCGGUUCUGAAAGGUCCAGAACACAAUAUUCAAGUUACAUUAAAUCUCUGCCUUUGCUCUAUGGAGAUGUCCCUGUGGAGAUUGCCACCCAUUGUUAGGAUUUACACUGGUAUAUGAAUGACGACUCGUCCAAAGUUAAGGCAAGAUAGGUCAACUUUACUUGAUCGAGCUGAUAUUUUUGUUUUAGGGCUGACGUGUUAUUUCCUGCAGAAACAAGUUGAACAUGUUAGAAUUCUCUUUCUUAUACAAAGCUUUUUUGAAAGACAAUGACAAUUUUGGGUGUGGGAGGUGUUGCUCUUGAAAUGUAAUUUUGCAGUUAUGGUCACGUUCUUAAGUUCAAGAAUUUAGAGCAGGUGGUUGCUACCAUGGGUUUAAAUUGUUUGGGUGGACGCUCAUGGACAAUACUGUUGAGAUAAAUAGUUAUGUCCUAUUCAAUGUGCCUGUUGGGUAGUUUGGUUACUGUCAAAAGUCAACUCUGUUAUAAUUGUCACAAAGGUUAUACCGUUAUGCACCAAUACCCUGUUGUACGCAAUACUUGGUCAACCUUUCUAGUGAUAAGGACAAGGACCUAAAACUCGUUUCAGUUGUACAUAAAAUGUCUCAUGACUGAUUGGUUAAAACGUUUAUACACUCAUGUUGUGUCUGUUUAGGAUAGGUUCAAGUGUUUAAUUUCUGUUGUAUAAUUUGGAGGAAAAUUAACUAACAUAAUUGAAGUAUGCAUUAAGCUUAGGUAGUAUCCUUGUUUUAGUAUUCUAAUUUUUUGUGCGAUGUUUGGUUGAAUCAGCAAUAUUGAACUUUCUAUGUGAAAAGUAAAAGUAUCUUUGCCAAAAAGAUAACUUACGAAAGAAAUCUGUCUGACCAAAUGAAAUCAGCAUUUAUCAAGAUCGAUUCUGCAUAUGGUGAUGGACUUUAUUGCUGCAUACUAAAGAAUACCACUCAUGGGCUAUAAAUUUUUCAACAGUUAUAUUACAAAAUCAAAAUAUUACAAUUAUUAGUUAUUAAAAUAAGAAGGAUCGUAAAUUGCAUUUGGUAGUCCCGUGGUCAAUUUUUUCUCAGUUUUCUUGCAGUUUUUUGCAUAUCACUAUAUGUAGUCUAAGAUUACUUACUAGUACUGAUUUGUUUUUGGUUUUGCUCAGGAUUUACUACUGAUUCUUUCUGUUUUUUUUUUUUGUGGAAAAAGGAGCAUAUUUCUGCUAGUGUUCUCCCUUCUGAGCUCAGCAAACAAGGGGCAGUUCAUCGAUGGAUGAGGGUAAAGUGCAUGAUUUAAGGAAUGGUACGUGGAACGGUGGAGAAAAAGGUGCUUGUUUUGUCUUCCAAGGGAGCUUUUACUCAUUGUACUUGGCUAUCUCUCAGUUCAAGAUUACCUAUCUUUCCGAGUUGUGUGCAAGUGUUGGCACUCUGCUUUCUCUGAGUGUUCAGCUUUCAUAUCUCAAAAACAGUUACCAAGACAGUUACCAUGGUUCAUGCUCUUUAGAAGUGAAGAGUUCCCAGAGGGGCUUCACCUUUCUCAAAAUAAACAGCACUUUCUCCAAACAACGGGCAAAUUUGGGGACUUAUCAAGUCAAUGUAUUUACAAUACUGACAUUCUGGAGCUAUGUGAAACUUGAUUCUUGCUGUCAAGGCAUGGGUGGCUGCUGUUAUUUUCUUCCAAGAAUGGGUGCUCUUUUCUUUUUUUUCCUCAAUCUAUUUUCCAGGGCAAGGAUUGACAUCCUUCUUAUAGAUGUGAUAAAUUAUGGUGUCCUGUGUUUGAUGUAUCAGCUCCUCCCACAUCUCCAGAUUGUGUGGUUUUUGCAAUAAGCUGUAAUGAUUUCGGGAUCGAAAUUAGGACAUGUUGCCGAAGAGAGUCUACAUGGAAGAGCAAUUCGUUUGAAUAUCACGGGGUUAGUGGCCAUGUGGUGAAUACAGUAUUUGUGCAUGGGAUUUGGUAUUGCUUACAUGAAUGUGGCAGUUUCAGCACUUUCGAUGUUGUUAACAAUUGAUGGAGAUUUUUGGGUCUACCUGAGGGUAUGUACAAACAGUGCUCUCAAGUUAAUCUGUUUUCCUUCGUUAUUAAGUGCGGGACCCAGGUUUAACUGUGCGCACUGAAACGUUUUCCAUGAGGUUUUAUUGGAGGAACCUCUCAAGGUUACAAAAAAUUUCCGUGAUGGAGAUUGGCAAAUUAACUUGGAAUACCAGAUGAGAAGUCGCCCGCACAGAGCUUUUCAGAAGCUGCAAAAUGAGACGGAAGUCUUCGACACUUUCAAUGGUCAUGCAUGAUGUGGUGACCGCAAUGUUUCCAAGUACGAUGUCAUAAAAUUUCGGUGGCAUCAUUUCAGGAGCUUUCUGAAUCACCGAUGUGUAAUGGAUAAGUGGAGCUGUCCUCCAAAUAACAAGGAAUGUUCAACAAUUGUUGUGUGGGUUGAACCGGUUUGGGUGCAUCCUUCAGCAGAUCUCGGUUGGAUGUUCUGAGAUAAAUUACUUCUUAUUAUCUUCUUCUUUUAAUUCCUGUUCCCUUCUCCUUCUUGUUUUUCUAUGCUUUUUGUGUACUGGUAAUAUUUAAUAAAUCACAUUUGCUUUAU